rnacentral:rRNA from 1 species
GUGCCAGCAGCUGCGGUAAUACGUAGGUGGCAAGCGUUAUCCGGAAUUAUUGGGCGUAAAGCGCGCGUAGGCGGUUCGUUAAGUCUGAUGUGAAAGCCCCCGGCUCAACCGGGGAGGGUCAUUGGAAACUGGCGGACUUGAGUGCAGAAGAGGAGAGUGGAAUUCCAUGUGUAGCGGUGAAAUGCGCAGAGAUAUGGAGGAACACCAGUGGCGAAGGCGGCUCUCUGGUCUGCAACUGACGCUGAGUGCGAAAGCGUGGGGAUCAAACAGGAUUAGAUACCCUGGUAGUCCACGCCG